rnacentral:pre_miRNA from 1 species
AAAAAGGCAAACCCUGGGUUUGUGUGUCCAACUUUGACUGUCCGUCUUAUAUAAUUUUUUUUAUAAUUCGUAUUUUUAUUGUUGUUAGAUGAUAAAACAUGAUUAAUACUUUGUGCGUGACUUAUCUUUUUAAUUUUUUUCAUUAUUUUUUUAAAUAAGACGGACGGUCAAACAUUGGGCACGGAAACCAGGGUU